rnacentral:tRNA from 1 species
UGCGACACUAGGAUGGAGCAGGUUGAGGUCACGCUCGUCGGGUGUAGCUCUUAUCGUGCCCGAAGGUCGUUGGUUCAAAUCCAGCUCCCGCAACCA